rnacentral:rRNA from 1 species
CGGACGGGUGAGUAAAGAGUGAGUACCUACCCUCCGGACGGGGACAACAGCUGGAAACGGCUGCUAAUCCCCGAUGAGCCUGCGGGUAAAAGGCCACUGGCGCCGGAGGAUGGGCUCGCGGCCGAUUAGCCUGGCGGUUGGGUAACGGCCGACCGAGGCAGCGAUCGGUAGCCGGUCUGAGAGGACGAUCGGCCACACUGGCACUGAGACACGGGCCAGACUCCUACGGGAGGCAGCAGUGGGGAAUCUUCCGCAAUGGGCGAAAGCCUGACGGAGCUACACCGCGUGAGGGAAGACGGCCUUUGGGCUGUAAACCUCUUUUCUCAGGGAAGAAGGUCUGACGGUACCUGAGGAAUCAGCCUCGGCUAACUCCGUGCCAGCAGCCGCGGUAAUACGGAGGAGGCAAGCGUUAUCCGGAAUUAUUGGGCGUAAAGCGUCCGCAGGGGGUCUUCCAAGUCUGCUGUCAAAGCCCGGGGCUCAACCCCGACGCGGCAGUGGAAACUGGGAGGCUAGAGUGCGGCAGGGGUAGAGGGAAUUCCCAGUGUAGCGGUGAAAUGCGUAGAUAUUGGGAAGAACACCGGUGGCGAAAGCGCUCUACUGGGCC